GACGAACGCUGGCGGCGUGCUUAACACAUGCAAGUCGAACGCUGAAGCUCAGCUUUUGUUGGGUGGAUGAGUGGCGAACGGGUGAGUAACACGUGAGUAACCUGCCUCCUUCUUUGGGAUAACGCCCGGAAACGGGUGCUAAUACUGGAUAUUCACUGGUCUUCGCAUGGGGGUUGGUGGAAAGGGUUUUUCUGGUGGGGGAUGGGCUCGCGGCCUAUCAGCUUGUUGGUGGGGUGAUGGCCUACCAAGGCUUUGACGGGUAGCCGGCCUGAGAGGGUGACCGGUCACAUUGGGACUGAGAUACGGCCCAGACUCCUACGGGAGGCAGCAGUGGGGAAUAUUGCACAAUGGGCGCAAGCCUGAUGCAGCGGCGCCGCGUGAGGGAUGGAGGCCUUCGGGUUGUGAACCUCUUUCGCUCAUGGUCAAGCCGCAACAAUGGUUGUGGUGAGGGUAGUGGGUAAAGAAGCGCCGGCUAACUACGUG
rnacentral:rRNA from 1 species